rnacentral:rRNA from 1 species
UACGGAGGGUGCAAGCGUUGUUCGGAUUUAUUGGGCGUAAAGGGCGUGUAGGCGGUUCGUUAAGUCUGAUGUGAAAGCCCCGGGCUCAACCCGGGAAGUGCAUUGGAAACUGGCGAACUUGAGUACGGGAGAGGGCAGUGGAAUUCCUAGUGUAGGAGUGAAAUCCGUAGAUAUUAGGAGGAACACCGGUGGCGAAGGCGGCUGCCUGGACCGAUACUGACGCUGAGGUGCGAAAGCGUGGGGAGCAAACAGG